UUUAUUGGAGAGUUUGAUCCUGGCUCAGGAUGAACGCUGGCGGCGUGCCUAAUACAUGCAAGUCGAGCGAAUGGAUUAAGAGCUUGCUCUUAUGAAGUUAGCGGCGGACGGGUGAGUAACACGUGGGUAACCUGCCCAUAAGACUGGGAUAACUCCGGGAAACCGGGGCUAAUACCGGAUAACAUUUUGAACUGCAUGGUUCGAAAUUGAAAGGCGGCUUCGGCUGUCACUUAUGGAUGGACCACAGUAGCAUUAGUGAGUGGGUGAGGUAAC
rnacentral:rRNA from 1 species